rnacentral:rRNA from 1 species
UACGUAGGGCGCAAGCGUUGUCCGGAAUUAUUGGGCGUAAAGAGCUCGUAGGCGGUUUGUCGCGUCUGCUGUGAAAACUCGAGGCUCAACCUCGGGCUUGCAGUGGGUACGGGCAGACUAGAGUGCGGUAGGGGGAGACUGGAAUUCCUGGUGUAGCGGUGGAAUGCGCAGAUAUCAGGAGGAACACCGAUGGCGAAGGCAGGUCUCUGGGCCGCAACUGAC